rnacentral:misc_RNA from 1 species
GGUUGAAGGUCUUGCCAUGAUGAGCAGACUAGGUCGAAACAGACUUCACCAAUCAGAAGGCUUUGAAGAUAGAUCAAUUGACUGGGACCAUGUUGAAAUGUAGGAAGCAGUAUUUCAUAAGAUUUCAAUAACAGGGUUUAUAACUUUGCUUCAAAUUGUAUCCACAUGAGGAAGUAACUUACCAGGCACCUGAUAUUUUUGUACGUAAGUCUCUGGAAUUCUGUCCAUAUGCUUCAGAUUGUCAUUUCAGGACAAUCCUUUUUGUCCAUUUUUACAUUUGACUCAGAAUCAGGGGUGGUACCCUUAA